UUGAAAGGUCAAACAAAUCAUUUCUUUAUUUUUCUAUUUUAUUUCAACUUAUAUUAAAUAUAAAAAUAUAUUUUUUCAAAAAAAAGACGACAAGACCCUAUUGAACUUUACUACAGUUUAGCUGGGGAAGCUAAAUAACAAAUAUUUUAUUAUUAAUUAUAUAAAUGACCCAAAAUAUUUGAUUAAAUAAUCAAGUUACCAUAGGGAUAACAGCGCAAUAAAUUUUUAAAGUUCUUAUCUAAAAAUUUGCUUACGACCUCGAUGUUGAAUUAGAAAUCUCUAUUAAGUAAAAAUAAUAAAAGUAGGUCUGUUCGACCUUUAAAAUUCUACAUGAUCUGA
rnacentral:rRNA from 1 species